rnacentral:rRNA from 1 species
UACGGAGGAGGCAAGCGUUAUCCGGAAUUAUUGGGCGUAAAGCGUCCGCAGGUGGCGAUUCAAGUCUGCGGUCAAAGACUGGGGCUUAACCCUGGAAAGGCCGUGGAAACUGAAAAGCUAGAGUGCAGUAGGGGUAGAGGGAAUUCCCGGUGUAGCGGUGAAAUGCGUAGAGCUCGGGAAGAACAUCGGUGGCGAAAGCGCUCUGCUGGACUGCAACUGACACUCGAGGGACGAAAGCUAGGGAGCGAAUGGG